GACUACAAGGUAGAUAGGGCAGAGGUGGAAGCAUGGCAACAUGUGGAGCUGACUGUUACUAAUAGGUCGAGGGCUUAAUCUG
rnacentral:rRNA from 1 species